rnacentral:rRNA from 1 species
CUUAACACAUGCAAGUCGGACGAGAAAGGGGACUUCGGUUCCCCGAGUAAAGUGGCGCACGGGUGAGUAACGCGUAGGUAACCUACCCCGGAUUUGGGAUAACAGUGCGAAAGCGCUGCUAAUACCGGAUACGACCUUGGAGCGGGAGCUUUGAGGUGAAAGUCGGCCACUCGAAGAAGCUGAUGUUCGGGGAUGGGCCUGCGUCCUAUCAGCUAGUUGGUAGGGUAACGGCCUACCAAGGCGACGACGGGUAGCUGGUCUGAGAGGAUGAUCAGCCACACUGGCACUGGAACACGGGCCAGACUCCUACGGGAGGCAGCAGUGAGGAAUUUUGCGCAAUGGCCGCAAGGCUGACGCAGCAACGCCGCGUGGGUGAAGAAGGCCUUCGGGUCGUAAAGCCCUGUCAGGUGGGAAGAAAGGCUUGAGGGUGAAUAGCCUUCGAGUUUGACGGUACCACCAGAGGAAGCACCGGCUAACUCCGUGCCAGCAGCCGCGGUAA